rnacentral:rRNA from 1 species
UACGUAGGGGCAAGCGUUGUCCGGAAUUAUUGGGCGUAAAGAGCGCGUAGGCGGUCCGAUAAGUCGGCUGUGAAAGUCAGGGCUCAACCCUUGAAAGCCGGCCGAUACUGUCGGACUAGAGUCCGGAAGAGGCGAGUGGAAUUCCGGUGUAGCGGUGAAAUGCGCAGAUAUCGGAGGAACACCAUGGCGAAGGCAGCCCUCGGC